UUUGGUUUAUCUGCCUCAGGUAGAUGAUUAAAAGGGAAUUAGGUGUAAAUCCUAGACUGUUCCCGCAGCUGUAAGCUUCGAAACUUAAAACAAACCACUCUAAUUAGGGGAAGGGUUUUAAGCCAUGAAGUGAGUCAGAAGACCUGCCACUAUUC
rnacentral:ncRNA from 1 species